rnacentral:rRNA from 1 species
AUUGAACGCUGGCGGCACGCCUUACACACGCAAGUCGAACGGCAGCACGGGAGCAAUCCUGGUGGCGAGUGGCGAACGGGUGAGUAAAGUAUCGGAACGUGCCCAGGCGUGGGGGAUAACGUAGCGAAAGUUACGCUAAUACCGCAUACGAUCUAUGGAUGAAAGCGGGGGAUCGCAAGACCUCGCGCGAUUGGAGCGGCCGAUAUCAGAUUAGGUAGUUGGUGGGGUAAAGGCUCACCAAGCCGACGAUCUGAAGCUGCUCUGAGAGGACGACCGGACACACUGGGACUGAGACACGGCCCAGACUCCUGCGGGAGGCAGCAGUGGGGAAUUUUGGACAAUGGACGCAAGUCUGAUCCAGCCAUGCCGCGUGCGGGAAGAAGGCCUUCGGGUUGUAAACCGCUUUUGUCAGGGAAGAAAAGGGUGUUUCUAAUAAAGACGCCUCAUGACGGUACCUGAAGAAUAAGCACCGGCUAACUACGUGCCAGCAGCCGCCGCCGUAA